GGUUGAUCCUGCCAGUAGUUAUAUGCUUGUCUCAAAGAUUAAGCCAUGCAUGUCUAAGUACAAACUGAAUUAAAGUGAAACCGCAAAAGGCUCAUUAUAUCAGUUAUGGUUCCUUAGAUCGUAUCCCCAGUUACUUGGAUAACUGUGGUAAUUCUAGAGCUAAUACAUGCAAUUAGAAGAGAGACCGGAGACGGUAUCUCUGCACUUAUUAGAUUAAAACCAAUCGUGCAGUCGCAAGACUGUCGAUACAAUAUGGUUGAACUCUAAGUAAUUUGCUGAUCGCAUGGUCUUAU
rnacentral:rRNA from 1 species